rnacentral:rRNA from 1 species
AGAGGAGCUUUCUGUAUGGGUUGAAGUCGUACCGUAAGGAGCGGUGGACUGUACAGAAGUGAGAAUGCUGGCAUAAGUAGCGAGAAAUAAGUGAGAAUCUUAUUGGCCGAAAACCUAAGGUUUCCUGGGGAAGGUUCGUCCGCCCAGGGUUAGUCGGGACCUAAGCCGAGGCCGAAAGGCGUAGGUGAUGGACAAUCGGUUGAUAUUCCGAUACCGCCUAUUUACGUUUGAGAAAUGGGGUGACGCAGUAGGAUAAGAUGUGCGCACUAUUGGAUGUGCGUCUAAGCACUUAGGCAUGCUUGAUAGGCAAAUCCGUCGAGCUAAGCUGAGGUGUGAUGGGGAGCCAUUUAUGGC